rnacentral:rRNA from 1 species
AUUGAACGCUGGCGGCAUGCUUUACACAUGCAAGUCGAACGGCAGCGCGGGAGCAAUCCUGGAGGCGAGUGGCGAACGGGUGAGUAAUACAUCGGAACGUGCCCAAUAGUGGGGGAUAACGCAGCGAAAGCUGUGCUAAUACCGCAUACGGUCUACGGAUGAAAGGAGGGGAUCGGAAGAGCUUGCGCGGAUGGGGCGGGCGAUGGCAGAUUAGGUCGUUGGUGUGGUAAAGGGUCACCAAGGCUUCGAUCUGUAGCUGGUCUGAGAGGACGAGCCGCCACACGGGAACUGGGACACGCCCCAGACUCCUACGGGAGGCAGCAGUGGGGAAUUUUGGACAAUGGGCGAAAGCCUGAUCCAGCCAUGCCGCGUGCAGGAUAAAGACCUUCGGGUUGUAAACUGCUUUUGUACGGAACGAAACGGUCUUUUCUAAUAAAGAAGGCUAAUGACGGUACCGGAAGAAUAAGCACCGGCUAACUACGUG